AGCAGUGAUGUGUUUUUUAAUUCGAUAAUCCCCGAAAAUCUUACCAUUAUUUGAAUCCCAUAUAAUAUAAAAAAGUAUGGUGACAAAUGUUACAUCGUUGUUUAAAGUCUGUGCUUUAAGGUUAUGAUUAACUUCAUAAACAGACGAAAAUCCGAAUCUAUAAAAAAAUAUAGAUAAUAAUUAAUUUAAUUAAUAAAAUUAAUAAUAAAAGGAACUACAACAAAUCCUGAUGACUUUAAUAUAGUGGGCUAAAGACGCAAUACAAAAUUGAUAUAUAAAAUUAAAUAAAAUAAUAAAAAAAAUUAUAUAAAAUAAUAAAUAAAAAUGGAAUAUCAAAUAUAUUUAUAGAAAUAUAUAUAAUGUGGAUUAAUCUCUGAAAUUCGAGAUUAUGAAAAAGGAAUUGCUAGUAAUCAUAAUUCAUUAAGUUAUGGUGAACUUCCUUUCUGUUUCGUACUAAUUACUCAUCAUUCGCUUGAAGUUUAUCUAAAUAUUAAAAAUAUAAUAUACAUAAUAUAUGUUCUAUAAUUAUAAAUAUAUUAUAAUAUAUUAUAUACUCAGUUAGAAAAUGACUAGUGAGA
rnacentral:rRNA from 1 species